rnacentral:misc_RNA from 1 species
GGCGAAGAAAGCGAGCACAGCGGCGCCGGCGGUGGUCUCCUCGCCGAGGAAGACCAGGAGUGUCACAUCCGGCAAGCGGGUGGCGCCGGUGUCUGCGCCGCCGAAGGCGGCGGCCGCCAAGAAGGCCAAGGCUUCGGCGGCGAAGGGCAAGGCCAAGGAGCCGGCCGGCUCGAAGGCCAAGGGUAAUGGGGAGGCACCACCGGCAGAGGGGUCGGCCAAGACCAUCAUCGUGGAGGCCUGCAAACAAUGUUCUUCCUUCAAGAUAAGGGCUGAGGCGGUGAAGAAUGGCUUGGAAAGUGCUGUCACUGGAAUCACUGUUGUUAUUAAUCCUGAGAAGCCACGGCGUGGAUGCUU